CAUCCGUAGCCGGACCGCGGCUCCGCAGCCUCGCGCAUAGCGUUCUUGGGCGUCUUGACACGUCACACUCAACAGCGCUCGCUCGUAGAAUCCAACGUCACAUGACGCCGCGUAAAAGUCGCCAUUGCUCUGCGGGGCACCAAGGUUGUUGUGUGCUGUGGCUCACCAAGAAGAAGAGUGUACAACCUGCAGAAAAAUUGACAAACUGUCAGGUUCCUGUUGGGGAGGACGAAGGGGCGCAUUUGCCAUCUUGUAAGAAUAAAAACUACCUAUGUGCUGCUAUGAUAAGAGUGAUAUAGCAGUUGUCCUUGGGGAGUGGAGCUCGACCACCUAAUACAUCUCACAAAGGCCGACAAACAAUCUUCAGAUCUCAGUAACUCCCCAUCAUAACUGAG